UAAUCUUCAAACAAAAUUUAUUUUAGAAAUAAGACAUAAAAGGAACAGUGCUCCAUAAUUCAAUAUGAAAGGAAAAAUAUAUAUUAAAAAUAUUUGUUAAAAAGAUUUUACAAAUAAUACUUAAGACCAGGAAUUACCAUAAAUCUAUGUUUUAUGGUAAAAUGGGAAAUCACUGAAAAUGUGUAACCAAAAACCCCCGCAGCAUUACAGUUUAUGUUAAAAAAAUAAUUCUAUUUACAUCACAAACCAGCUCUGUUUCUGACAGCACCUACUGCCCUUCAACUGUCCUUCACUCAUAUUCAGAAGGAUUUAAAGCUUCCAAAGUCCAAUAUAUUUUCUGAUAUGACAGGCAGCUUUCAUACAAACUGCAGAUUGUGUGCCAUAGCUUUUCCUUGGAGUGACUCACUUGAUAUCAGGGCAUAUCUGAGAUCAAGUGGCAUUGAGCUUUGGUAGACACACAUCCAUAGGAAAUCCAGGUAUUGACAGUAUGACACAGGAUGCAGAACAGCAAACCUGAGAUCAGUCUUUGGCUGCUGGCACUGUAGGGCUAAAAGCAGCGAUGUGAUUAAUUUACUCUGUAAAACUGGCAACAAAUAAAGUACUAUUCUUUUUGCUGAGCCACACAUAGCACUGUAACUAACCAAAACCAGGCUCUAGGACUUGACUGAUAGACACAGACCUGUUUAGACAGGGGUGGCAACGUGCACUGGAUAGAAGGAAGAAUCUCUUCAGAAGUUUACUGAGAUGAUAGUGAGUAAUAAUAAUUGCAGUCUAAAGUAUAAUAAAAAAACCUUAGAAAGUAUGACUGAUAUUCCAAAGACAAUAAUCGUGAGUUGACAAUUUCAAAAGCACCAUUUGCUCAACUCAGUGAUUUUUGCUAUUCAUUUACUCUGACUUGUAUGCAGAGAACAGUAUUUCUGUAGGUGAAAACAUCUGAGAAACAGAGUUGGUUUUGACACAUGUACACCUAGCUUUGACUUAGGAUGUUAAUAUUCAUUUAAAAAACCCGAAACUGAAUAUGGAAUGUUUUUGACUGGUCUGCAUUUAGCCUUCACAUCAUUGAAAAGUGUAGAAAUAUACAUUCAGCACAUAUACAAAUUUGGUCACUAUGCAUUAGGCUUUCCUGACACUUUUAUGAACCCAUUUAACCAUCAGAAGGAACUGAGCUCUCUCAGCAAGUCAUAUGCCAGUCUAUGAAAGAAUUGACUUUUUUUAAAGUGAUACUUACAUGUAAAGGAAAAAACCCAAACAAUCCAAACAGAGGAAAAACAUGAAACUGAACCACUUAACAGGUCGCUGGCUUUUCCCUUAGUGCAUUUGGAGAGUUAUUAUAUUUGGUUGUGCUAACUCAGGAAAGAACUAAAAGAGAUUAUCAAUUUGGACCAAUAAACUGCUUGAUAUACUUCCUAUUUCAUGCAUGUAACUUUUUUUUUUUAAGCUUUCAAACCAUCCUAGAUUCUUUUAGAAUUAUUGAUUGAUAGACUAGGAUGAUGUGACCAGUGAAAUAUUAGGAAAAAUGUAGACCUUCAGCUCGGUUAAAAGCAAAACAACCAGCAAUCUCACAAAAAAUACUUUUCUCUGCAAGCACAUAACUGGCAUGUUUAAAUUAAAAGGUAUUUAUAAAAGGUUCUCUUCAUACUCAGUGUAAGAAUGUAGGCACUUCUAGAGGGCAUGCUGUCCUAACAUCAGAAUAACCUGCUAUAAUAUGCCUUUUCACUACCAGAGUGAAAACUGAGGGCAAAUAUAUGUCCUCUUGAGAUGACUAAGUUACAUGCUUAAGGUUAGAUUAGAUUAACUUAGUUCAGUAUCUCAACUCAGUAUCCCUUGAUCCAAAAAAAGAAAAAAAAAGGGGGGGGGGGUGAAGGAAAAAAGAGUAAAAUGCAAUAUAAGCAUUGAAAUUAUUUGGUGCCUUUCUUGUUCAAACAUUGAUUUUAUGUAUGAGUCUUCUCACCAAGGAAAUCCAACCGAAUUAUCACAAAAACCAGAAAUCUAAAGAUUCAAACACCAAAGAAAAAAUUAGAACCUGAAGGUCUAUGAAAUCCUACUACCUUCCUGACAAACAACUCUUCUAGGCUAAAGGGUUAUUAUACUUAACCAAUACCUUUGAAUGCUUCUUAUCGCCCGUUUAAGCAAACAACUUUAACAGCAACAAGUAGGACCAAUCUUUGUUACACUAAAAACUUCUUGAAUAAAUUCUUACUAUGUUAGGAAUGUACUUUCAACCCAAGGCAACUGGCUGAAUCGUGGUAUUGAGUCAAUAAAUAUCACUACUGUAUGUCUAACCACUGAAAGUGUUGGGUUUUUAGUUGAAACAUAAAUGCUGCAAGGGUAUGAUAAAUAGGAAUAGCAAAAUUGUCUUAUAGAUACAUAAACUUCCUCCCAAGAAAAUGAUUUCAUUAACAGAAAUGAAAAAUCUUCUGUAACAGUCAUAGCUAUAAUUAUGCAAUACAAUAUGCUGAAUUACAAUACGUACUUCAUUAUUAAUAGAAUUUAUUUUACAGAUCAAAUAGCCAAAUACACAUUUUUAAAAGAGCCAGAUAGCAAAUGUGGAGCAAACUAUAGGCAACAGUCAUGGUAGACAUUCUGCAGUCCAAGAACUGAGGCAACGUGAUUAUUAAGUACAAGCCUAUAAAUAUCUUUACAUCAAACAUAUAGUAAUGUGUAAGAAUUCCACGUUGUAGUCUAAUUCAUGAAUCAUUAAUAACUUUUUCUUUAAAAGAAAGUUAUAUAUACUGUAUACAUCCCAGUUAAAAGCAGUGUCUGUAUUUCAUUUUAUUCUAGCAAACUAAUAUUACAUGUCUUCAUAUAAGUGCAGAAAACAGGGUUCUUUAUACUCCUUUGCUUCCUAAGAGAUUUUGCAUUGCAUAUGAAAUUCUAAUAUUAUAGAUGAUACAUAUUAAGCAUUACUCCCUAAAAUGUGAGGCAAUACACAAGAACUUGCAACCAACCUGCAAACGAAGCUACAAGACUCAAAUUUUAUUUUUUAGAUGAGUCGUGCUAAAUAACAAAUUAUCAUGUAGAAAAUUUUAAUUUUUAAAAAGUUAACUACACAGAGAAAUAACUGGGGGGGGAAGUGGAAGGGGGUAUCAACAUUAGGCCAUUUUCUCCCCCAUGUGCUGGCUAACAGUGAAAAAAUGGUGUAUGCUAUUUCCUACUUUAUCACACUGAAAACCAAGUCACUGGACUUAGGACUCUUUCGUUUUAAAUAAAAGUACUUCAAAAGGUUAAAUGUAUGGCAGUUUUACACAGACAUUAGCCAGACUUCAGCAAGCAAAAUGAAAAUUAGAUUUUAUUUUUAAAAGUUACGUGAAUACUUUCCAGUUAUUUAAAAGGUGAUCAUUUAUUUAUUACAAAAUGUUGUGGAUAAGAAAGCAGGAAGUACUCAUUUUUCACUACUACUACUGUGCCUAUAAAAUGAGAAAGCAGUGAUUUGAUCAAUUCUAUUUAUGAUCCAUAGCAGCAAUAUCAUCAUUAAAAAUAUUAUGGUAUAGAUAUAAAUAACACUUAAUUCUUAACAUGGAUAAUGGUGCUAUAAGUGACAACAAUUCAUUUGUUUUUAUUUUAAAUGCAGGGAGUAUAAAGAACUUUACAUUCUCUUUUUAAUGUAUGAAUAAAAUUUAUUGCUCCCUUUUAAUAUAUUUAUAGAAACAAAGUUCCUAAUUGUUUCAACUAAAAUAAAUAAAGAAAAAAGAAAUCUGGGACAAGAAGAUGAUUACAAGCAAAAUAGAUUUACCAUAAUCACCAACUGUGCAGAAGGAUGGGUCACAUUACUUUUUUCUUA
ensembl:lncRNA